GCCCGGUUAGCUCAAUCGGUAGAGCGUGAGACUCUUAAUCUCAAGGUUGCGGGUAAGUUCACGUCAGAUUAUAUGUCUAAAUCUUAGAUGCAAAAUAUUAACAAAUAAUAAAUAGGUUCGACCCCCGCAUCGGGCU